GUGGAAAUUCGGUGAACGGCCAAGUUAGUUGUAUGAAGAUGGAUCGAACGUCGCAGAUCCGGUUCCGGGACAACAAUGUUGUCAAUGCUCCCGGCUCGUAGAAACGGAUUUGAAUCCAGCCCGCCAGUAGCAAUCCGGCGUUCGAAAUUCUAACGCACUUAGCCAACAAAAUGGAAAUUCGUUCGGUAUCUCCGGUCGAUUCAUUUCAACAAUGUGUCCAACAACAGAUGCAAUAAUCCAACGUUCUUGUCCGUCGUUCGAUGGUUUAUACUGGUUCCGCAAGACGAGGGUUCCAUGUCGGCGGCUGUUCAGCUUAAACCGACUAGGACAGAAGACUCGGAUGGCUAACGAUGGUUCGUCCUUUAGGAGUCAGCUGAUUUUAUGCCACUAUCUUCGAAUCAGAAUUGAAAUAUUACCCGAUGGCAACCAAGCCGGAUCCAUUUUUAAUCGCGUUCAACAAAAAGUCCUUCGCAACAAUCUUCGACCUACUCAUCCAGAGUGUUUUUGUUGAGAUUGCCCAGAUAGUCCAGCGCAAAUCCACCAUCGAUGGAGAGUCGUUCGACAUUAAACAUUUUAAUAUUCUUCGAGAGAAGAUUGCUUCGGCCGGUUUGGUUUCACGAUCAAUGAAACCUCCAUGGGCUUCAGCCAGGUUAAAACGACAACCUAUGGAUUACUGCUAAACGGAUUUACCUUGGAUUCAAAAGUACUCUCUUAGAGUUUGUUCUGGACGGAACUCCUAAGGUUAAGGAACAUUUGCUGGACUCCAAGAAGGAUAUUGACCAACUCACUGGGUACUACAUGACCCACUUGGAAAAAAGUAGCGGCGGUUCGACGUGUUCUAAAAUAGCAGCAACAUCCCCCGGAUCGGCGACGCCAGCCACCGAUAAUGUGUCGCGAAUGGCUACCAUCGCCGCUCCUCGGAAAAUCAGUUGUUAGGUCUCACUAUUUCAGCAUAUCCAUUGACGAGUUGAUUUUGAAAUUGCUGCAAUAGCACGGACGGAGCUACCACAAUCGAAAGCAUUGUUAAUCGAGGGACAAAAAAAUUACAGUAGGACCAGUUUGUCGAUUACAACUUUCGCAAAAAAUCGUCGUUAGUCACUGAUUUGAAAAGUGCAUUUACGAUAAGAAUCGGAAAAAACGAGAAAUUAAGAAAAAAAAAGAAUAAGUGACAGUUUUUCGAAAAGUUUUUUUUUCGAGUGAAGUUUUAAAUUCAGAGUCUCAGGAAAUGUAUGUUUUUAUAAUUUAAAAUUAUGUUUUUUUUGAGUUGAAAGCAAUUUAAUAU